CGACCUUCUCAAGAAGGUGAAAGACACACACAGACACACAGAGACACACAGAGACACACACAAAGUGAACUUCCCUCCCUACCUCACUCCAGACUCUCGCGACCUUCUCAAGAAGGUGAAAGACACACACAGAGACACACAGAGACACACAGAGACACACGGAGAGACACACAAAGUGAACUUCCCUCCCUACCUCACUCCAGACUCUCGCGACCUUCUCAAGAAGGUGAAUGACACACACAGAGACACACAGAGACACACAGAGACACACAGAGACACACACAAAGUGAACUUCCCUCCCUACCUCACUCCAGCCUCUCGCGACCUUCUCAAGAAGGUGAAAGACACAAACAGAGACACACAGAGACACACAGAGACACACAGAGACACACAGAGACACACAGAGACACACACAAAGUGAACUUCCCUCCCUACCUCACUCCAGACUCUCGCGACCUUCUCAAGAAGGUGAAAGACACACACA